rnacentral:sRNA from 1 species
UCCUAGCCCCGAUGGGAACGGCAUCCUUUUUUGUCUUAUCUGAAAAAUUAUAUUGAAGACUUAACUUCUAAGACAAAAAAGAUACAGUGGACAGCGGGAUUAAGC